rnacentral:tRNA from 1 species
GGAAGGUUAGCGAAGUGGUCAAACGCGUCUGACUGUAAAUCAGAUCCUUAGGGUUCAGUGGUUCAAAUCCACUACCUUCCACCA